CAGGCCAUUGCUUCAGAAAACUGAUGCCUGCAUCUGGUUGACCACUUAUGCCUUUCCAUACCAGCAGAUAAAGUGUUUUCCAGUACUGGAGUUCAUACCUGGAGGCUGAUUCUACUGUGAGGAAGAAGUAACAGAACACCUGCAACUAGCCCAUGCAUGGUUUUGCGGGCUCUGCAUCAGAGCGCUGUCUUCUAUUCUGAGAGCUGCAGGUGUUUCACUGGCGAUACAAAAGUUAACAAGGAAAGAGGUGUUGGCCAACAGCCAGGAGGAUACGAUUGCCCAGAAGAGAAAGAUGAGAAACCCCAAGCGUCGUCCCACGCUGAGUUUUUGUACCUUUGUGACUCCCAAAGUGAAUGCAUAGAUGGACCGAUGAGAUUUUCACCCAAAGAAGAUGUGCAUGAAGGACGCACCAGACUGAGAGUUCAAGGGAUUACAUGGACCAACAGAACACACUUUCAGUUGGAUGGAUUUAAAGGACAGAGCUUAAGAAGACAGAAUGGGAAAUGAAAGCGCAGAAGCAGGCACAUAGAAGACGCCUCCCCCGCAGUAUCCUUUACGUAACUAUGGUGGCUAACAAAUUCGGACAUUUUAGUUUCUCUUAUCCUUUGACUGGCAUCUCUGAGCGAUUCAAGGCAAAUAUCAGGAUCUUGAGCAUAAGAACUCCUGUUCCUUAAAAACAUCUUUGGAGGUGUCGUUCCACUUCCAUCCCAGAGGUGGUCUUCAAUGCAAAAUUGAAAUUGUUAUUUAUUUAUUUUCCCCUCCCGUUCGCAGCUGCGUGUUUUUUAAGUAGUUGCGAAAGGAACAAUGAAAUGAAAGGCAAAACCGGCAUUUUGAGAACUUGGCAAGAGAAAGAAGGUUGGACUGGCAGCCAAGAAUCCUGCUGGGGCACAGGGAGAAUAGCAUCUGCAAGAGCACCUCAAGUGAGGAUUUCGUCUUCCUUUUCAAAACAAAAAAACCCCCCAAAAUCAAUCUCGGCAGCUGAAGCAAUUAUUCUGACACCAGUGUUGAGAGUCACAAAAUUACAAUGGAAGCUUGAUGAGUCCAUGCGGAAACAGACUUCCUGGAGAACGUGGCAACAUUACAAGCAUGGACCUUUUGCAGUGGGCACAAGAUCAGCCAUUCCAUACCUUUCAGCUCUCGGUCGUUGGAAGAAAGAAGAUGAAGCAGAAGGAAGGCAAAGGACGGGGAUCUGGAUGGAUCUACCCAGAUCUUCACUCACGCCCCAAAAGGAGAAGAGCUGAAAAACAUUCUCUGGAGCUGGAGGACUUCGACGUUCAGGAUGGAUUUAUUUUUUGUCAAAGAUAUAAACAGCAUUUUGAGAGAUUCUAGUUAAGCUGUAUUUUCUCAUAAAUGUAAAGGGGGAAAAACCCAGCCUGCCACUUCAAAAACAAAAGGUUACUCUUAAACUUGCUUUUAGCGGGUAAGAAUAGAACAUUUAUCUAAUGUUUCUGUAGCAUUGUCAGUGUAGGCUUGAGAUUUUUAAAGUCCUUUCCCCAGAGGAAUGUGCUUUCUUGGACUGAAUUUUCUGAAUCCUUGGUUUUGUGUACUUCAUUGUUUUGAGGACUUCAUGUAUGAAAUUUGCCCAUAUGCAGAACCUUUAAAAAUGACUUGUGGAAGGGGGAGGGUUUUGUUUCCAAGUUGAUUUUGGAUUAAGCCCUAGUAUUUGUUUCAACAUUGGAGCCCAAAUUUGAUGGCCCUUCUUGAACCUGUCCAUUUUGAUAAUUUCUAAUAAGACGACUUCAUGUGCUGUUGAAUAAUAAUUGUUCUUUUAAAGUAAAAACAAAAAAGUAAAGUUUAAAAAGUAAGGAAAGGCUUUUAAAGCUUCAGAAGUAUAUGUUCAACAAUUCAGAGAAGAAGGACCAAGAAAGAGAAUACUUUGGCUGAUUAUGCACAAGGUGUCUGCCAAGCUGCAGGAACUUGAGGCAAGAUUUCUUGUAUGGACAUAUUUCCUCAAGCCCCGCUUUCACUUUCCAUUCUCUGCACAGCAAGCAAACAUUCUCCUGCACUUCUAGCAUGAUUUUAAUUUGCUUCGCCACCAGAGCAGGGUAGAUUUGUCAGGAAGCCCAGCUUUGCUCCAGAUACUUCCUUCUGCUCAUGACCAGCCUACCUAGCUUCACCCUUCCCACUCCCAUGCACUGCCAUCCACAUCUUCCCCCUCGUGCCCCUCUUCCAUUUUGCCAGCUCCUUCCUGCUUCCUACUCAUCCUUCCAGCAUCUUUGGGUAGCCAGCAAGUGGAAGGCCCUCUGCAUGGGCCAAUGAAUAUGGGGUGCAGCCGGGGCACAUGAGCCUGGUGCAAUCCUGGAUCAUUCACAUGGCUCUGUGCGGGCAGCCCCAGAGCAAAUGCAGGCCAUCAAUGCACCUUCACAUAGAGGCACAUUGCUUUUUUUUUGUUCCUAC